AAUAGAUACCCGGGUAGUCCUAGCAGUAAACGAUGGCCACUAGGUGUGGGGGGUGUUGACCCCUUCCGUGCCGUAGCUAACGCAUUAAGUGGCCCGCCUGGGGAGUACGGUCGCAAGACUAAAACUCAAAGGAAUUGACGGGGGACCCGCACAAGCAGCGGGGCGUGUGGUUUAAUUCGAUGCAACGCGAAGAACCUUACCUGGGCUUGACAUGUAGUCGCAACACGGAGAAAUCCGUGCCUCCCUCGGGACGGCUACACAGAUGUUGCAUGGCUGUCGUCAGCUCGUGUCGUGAGAUGUUGGGUUAAGUCCCGCAACGAGCGCAACCCUUGUCCUUAGUUGCAUAUCUAGGGAGACUGCCGGAAACAAACUGGAGGAAGGUGGGGAUGAUGUCAAGUCAGCAUGACUCUUACGUCCAGGGCUACACACACGCUACAAUGGAUAGUACAAAGAGAUGCCACUGAGCGAUCAGGAGCGGACCUCUAAAAGCUGUCCCCAGUUCAGAUUGCACUCUGCAACCCG
rnacentral:rRNA from 1 species